GGGUGUAAAGGGUGUGCAGACGGUUUAUUAAGUUGCUUGUUUAAUUCUUCGGCCUAACCGAAGGCUCGCAAGCAAAACUGGUAGACUUGAGGAUGGAAGAGAGAAGUGGAAUUCUCGGAGUAGCGGUAAAAUGCGUAGAUCUCGAGAGGAACACCAAUGGCGAAGGCAGCUUCUUGGUCCAUUCCUGACGUUCAUACACGAAAGCGUGGGGAGCAAACAGGAUUAGAUACCCUGGUAGUCCACGCCGUAAACGAUGAUCACUAGACGUCAGUUUCGUUUAACGAAAUUGGUGUCGUAGCUAACGCGUUAAGUGAUCCGCCUGGGGACUACGGUCGCAAGACUAAAACU
rnacentral:rRNA from 1 species